rnacentral:lncRNA from 1 species
UUACUCUUUACUCCUCUGCUGUACGUGGUGCAUCUACUUAUUCAGUUUCUGAAAAGGUGUUUCUACACACUGAGAAGAUUGCCCUGAACUUUCUCCCCUCCAUGCCAAACUGUUCCAGGUCUCUCAGCCUCCCCCUGUGUGAGAGGUGUUCCAUUUCCCUAAGCACAUUUCUACGAUUAUGUGAAUAAAAUCAGUUUAUAUAAUGUUAUAUAUAUGUUUACUCCACU